GACGAACGCUGGCGGCGUGCUUAACACAUGCAAGUCGAACGAAAAGAGGGAAAGAGCUUGCUCUUUCCGGAAUUGAGUGGCAAACGGGUGAGUAACACGUAAACAACCUGCCUUCAGGAUGGGGACAACAGACGGAAACGACUGCUAAUACCGAAUAAGUUCCAAGGGCCGCAUGGCCCAUGGAAGAAAAGGUGGCCUCUACAUGUAAGCUAUCGCCUGAAGAGGGGUUUGCGGCUGAUUAGCUGGUUGGGGGGGUAACGGCCCACCAAGGCGACGAUCAGUAGCCGGUCUGAGGGGAUGAACGGCCACACUGGGACUGGGACACGGUCCCGACUCCUACGGGAGGCAGCAGUGGGGAAUCUUCCGCCAUGGGCGGAAGCCUUACGGAGCAACGCCGCGUGGGUGAUGACGGCCUUCGGGUUGUAAAACUCUGUGAUCCGGGACGAAAAGGCAGUGUGCGAAGAACAAACUGCAUUGACGGUACCGGAAAAGCAAGCCACGGCUAACUACGUG
rnacentral:rRNA from 1 species